rnacentral:lncRNA from 1 species
AGCUAAUUGUUUGCAAAACUCUUUGAAUAGUAUUGUGUCCACAUGCUAAAUACUGUUUUCUCCCUUUCAGCAAUAUAACAAGGAAUGGACAGAGGAGUUGACUAUGGAUAAUGACUGAUACUGGUAAUACUGGAAUGAAUUAACCUACAUGCAGUGUCCAAUGACUCCAUGCCUGACAGUCCAUUUUUACAUGUACAUAAAAUGUAUGUUGACAGCCAAUGGUAAGUAUUAAUCUUCAUAAAUACAUGUAUAUACAAUGAUUGUAUGUGCAUCUCUGAGACUUACAUUUCACUGUUGUGUGGCUUCAUUACUGACCAGAGACUGAUAAGAAUUAGAUUAUCCUUUAUUUUAUCUUCAAAUAUUAUGUACUAGUAACUACAUAUAUGUACUCAAUGACUUGCAUUCAUUUAACUUGUAAUAAUUAUGAUGCAGCAUCCAACAAAAAGUAUGUAUUUUUUAGCUCACCUGGCCCAAAGAGCCAAAUGAGCUUUUCUCAUCACUUGGCGUCCGUCGUCUGUAAACUUUUACAGAAAUCUUCUCCUCUGAAACUACUGGGCCAAAUUUCACCAAACUUGGCCACAAUUAUCAUUCGGGUAUCUAGUUUAAAAAAUGUGUCCAAUGACCCAGCCAACCAACUAAGAUGGCCGCCAUGGCUAAAAAUAGAACAUAGGGGUAAAAUGUAGAUUUUGGCUUAUAUCUCUGAAUCCGAAGCCUUUAGAGCAAAUCUGACAUGAGGUAAAUGUGUUUAUAAGGUCAAGAUCUAUCUGCCCUGAAAUUUUCAGAUGAAUCGGACAACUGGUUGUUUGAUUGCUUCCCCUAAUUGGUAAUUUUGAGGAAAUUUUGCCGUUUUUAUACGACAGCAAAAAUUGAAAAUUUUUUGGGUGUAAUGUAUAUUAGUAUCACAAUGGCGUCGUCUUCUUUGUCAUCGUCCGAAGACAUUUGGUUUUUGCACUCUAACUUUAGUAAAAGUUAAUAGAAAUCUAUGAAAUUUAAACACAAGGUUUAUGACCAUAAAAGGAAGUUUUGGAUUGAUUUGGGUGUUUUGGUCCCAACAGUUUACGAAUUAGGGGCCAAAAAGGGCCAAAAUAAGCAUUUUUCUUAGAUUUCGCUCAAUAACUUUAGUAUAAGAAAACAGAAAUCUAUGAAAUUUUAACAUAAGGACUAUAUGACCACAAAAGAAAGGUUGGAAUUGAUUUUGGGAGUUUUGGUCCCAACGAAUUAGGAUUUCCAGUAAUACAUAUUUUUGGUACAGUCUCAGAAAUAGUACCUAUCAGUCUAUGCAAAAGUAGAGGUGUACAUUUUUUUGUAUAUGAAUAGAAUUUAAUUGUUGCAGAUUAAACAUUUUUAGAAAUUUAAUUUUAAAAAUAAGGAGAUGUGGUAGGAUUACCAAUAAGAAAACCAUCAUGGUCAUCCACAUUCAAAAUGAAGGGGAAAUAACCACUUUUAGGCCACUUUUAUUCUGACCUUCAACAAUGAACAGAAAAAUACUGCUUAGUCAGCUGUUUAUGAUCCUGACAACAGUUCAAUCUAUAAAACUAGUAAUAGUCAUUUUGCUAGUGAUGUUCACAGUGACACUUAUUGGUUAUAAAAAAAAUCAAUUGUUUUCUCUGUUGCCACUAGCUGUUGCAGUCUGUGCCAACCUGUUUUAGUGUCUGUCUGACUGAAAGAGAAAUUUGAUUCUUUUUCUCUUGUUAUUACAAAUGUAUGUCAACCGAAAAAUCAAAAAAUUUCUAUCUGACCGAAUUAUCUGAUUCACUGCUUUUGGCGAAUAUUUUUUACAAUAGUUGCCUGUGUGAAUUUGAUUUACAUUGUACAUAUUGUAUAUCUAAAUGAAUUUUCAUUUGUAUUGCCUUUUUUUUUUAUUUGGAAAACAUUAAUCAGGUUCAGGGCUUAUAUUUAUAAUAAUUAAUGGAAUUUAAAUUUUCAGAAUUGCACAUUUGUUGCUCCCAAGAUGUACAUGUAAGAGGAUUUGAAGUUAUACAAUGAAAUGAAUGAAUUGAUUAGAAAUACAUGUAGAUGAGACCCUAUAGCUACAGAACAUGUAACUGGUAUGUAUUGGUUAUGUGGUAUUUGUAGUCAAAAUGGUAAUUUUUUGGUAUGACAAAAAUGCUGAAAUCUGAAAAUUUAAAAAGGAGUCUUGAAACACAAACUGACAAAAUAAAAAAAAACAUUUUCAAUCAACAGAUCUGAUCAAGGGAAAAAAUAAUCUGCUUAUAUUAUAUAUAUGGAAUAGGCAUGUAGUUACAUUUAUCAUAUAUAUAUGUUUAGUAGUAAAUACAGUAGUUUUUGCAUAUUUGAUAAAUAGUCUGCUGUUUAAUCAAUAUUGCAUACCCUUUAUCACACCCCUAAUUUUUAGCUCACCUGGCCCGAAGGCAAGUGCUUUUUCACCACUUGGCGUCCGUCGUCGUCGUCGUUAACAAUACAUUUUAACUUCUUCUGAGAAAUGGAAUGAAACCAAACAUGCAUGAAUGUUCCUUAUGAGGUUAACCAAGUGUUGUUACUUUGUUGCCGAAUCAUCCAAAUGGCUGACUUAGUUAACAUAGGACUAUGGGAAAUGCAUACAAAUGACUUCUUUUAGAGAACCCAUGGAAUAACCAAACAUAGCAUGAAUGUUCCUUAUGGUGUGACCAGUUUGUUACUUUGAGGAUCCAUUUGAGAGGGGACUUAGUUUACAUAGGACCCUAUGGGAAAUGCAUACAAAUGACUUCUUCUAGAGACCACUAAAUGGAUGAAACCAAAAUAGCAUGAAUGUUCCUUAAUGACAGUGUGUUAUAGCCGAUCCAUCAUCCAAGAUGCCAGCGUGGGACUUGUUUAACAUAGGACUAUAUGCAUACAAAUAUAGAGACUACUGAAUGGAUGAAAUCAAACAUGCAUGAAGUUCCUAAUGUGACCAAGUGUUGUUACUUUGUUAGGAUCCAUAUCCAAGAUGGCCGCCAGAGGGGGACUUAGUUUACAUAUUGGGAAAUGUACAAAUGACUUCACCACUGAAUGGAAUAAAACCAAAAUAGUGAAUGUUUUAUGUGCUGACCAAGUGUUGUUACUUUGUGGAGCCAUCAUCCAAAUGGCGCCAGCGGGGACUUAGUUUAACAUGCUAUGGGAAAUGCAUACACAUGACUUCUUUUAGAGAAACUGAAUAUGAAACCAAAAUGCAUGAUGUUCUUAUGAGGUGCUGAAAGUGUUGUACUUUGUUGCUGAUUCAAAGAUGGCUGCCAGGACUUAGUUUAACAUAGGACCCUAUGGGAAAUGCAUACAAAACUUCUUUUAAGAACCACUGAAAAUAAAACCAAAAUAGCAUGAAAUGGGGUGCUGACACUUUGUAGCCGAUCCAUCAUCAGAUGGCCGCCAUGGACUUAGUUUAAAUAGGACCCAUGGGAAAUGCAUGACUUCUUUUAGAGAACCACUGAAUGGAAUGAAAUCAAACAUGCAUGAAUGUUCCUAAUCACCAAGUGUUGUUAUAGCCGAUCCAUUAUCCAAUCCAGCGGGGGACUUAGUUACAUAGGACCCUAUGGGAAUGUACAAAUGACUUCUUCUAGAGAACACUGAAUGGAAUAAAACCACAUUGCAUAUGUCCUUAUCAGUGUUGUUACUUUGUAGCCGAUCCAUAUAGUGGCCGCCAGCAGACUUAGUUUAACAUAGGAUCCUAUGGGAAAGCAUACAAAUGACUUUUUUUAGAGAACCAUAUGGAAUUCAUGCAUGAAAUGAGUCAAGUGCUGUUACUUUUAGCCGACGUCAUCCAAGAUCAGUGGGGCUUUUGAAUGAAAUUAAAGAUGUUCCUUUCCUUAUAAAUGAGGUUGUGUUGUACUUUUAGCCAAUUUUAUAUUUUUUUUAUAUGAUUUCAAAAACCCAAGUAGAAUCAGGUGAGCGAUACAGGCUCUUGCGAGCCUCUAGUUUUUUUUUUUUUUUUACAUAAAGUCAGUUUUUAUUUAUGUAAGCUCAAGAAAUAAUUUUCCUUAAAAAUAGGUCCAAAAUAACGGUCAUUCGGGCUUGACGCAAUUUAUUGAAUGACGUCAUUGUGUGGGAUGAUUGCCAAUGAGACAACUAUCCACAAAAGACCAAAAUGACACAGACAUUAACAACUAUAGGUCACCGUACGGCCUUCAACAAUGAGCAAAGCCUACCGCAUAGUCAGCUAUAAAAGGCCCCAAUAAGACAAUGUAAAACAAUUCAAACGAGAAAACUAACAGCCUUAUUUAUGUAAAAAAAAAUGAACGAAAAACAAAUAUAUAUGCAACACAUAAACAAACGACUUUUAUUCAGUUUGUGAGUUAAUCGACCUGGUUUACACAUCAAUAACCUCUAGAAAAAAAUGUGUUUAAUCCUAUAAUAUACCCAUGUGUUAUGCUUGUAGUUUUAGGAAAAUAGAAUAUCAAAAUAGCUUGACUAAGAUUAAAAAAAUUACUGAUAUCAUAAAUUAGGUAUUUUUUGUCUUGUCUGCAACUGAUUGAAUGGUCAUAAUGGUGUAGUACAUGUCUGUCUGGGCAUGGUUCAUCUUACCAUGACCUGAUAUUCAUUAUGAUGGUUCAUUGGUCAAUAUUAAGUUUCAUAUUUUAGUCUGUUUGUUGUAUACUGUAUAUAAUCAAUUAAGAUAUUGAUCAGCUAUAUUUGGUGUAAGCAAUGAUUGUAAGAGGCUAAGACAUGUAAGAAGGGGGCUUGAAAAUAAUGAGUUGUGUUAUUAUAGGCACUAAGUAUACUUACAUAUACAGGUUAUGUGUAGUACACCUACAUGAAUAGAGUUUGUUUUCAUUUAAGAAGUUUAUUAUAAAAAUUUAACAUGGUAUGAUUGCCAAUGAGACAACUAUUCACUAGAGUCCAAAUGACUGAAUACUGCUAACUAUAAAUGAUCAUAUGUACAGCUUUCACCAAUAAGAAAACUGAUACAGAAUAGCGAACUAUAAAAUGUCCUGAAACAGGGAUUGUAAAAACCUGUGUUUUAUGAGUAUUGCCCACCCCGGUGGGAAAUACUGGGAAAACCCAGGUUUUACUGUCAAGGUUUUACUGGGUAAAUCACCAUAAAAUCACCAAUUGAUCAUGUCAGAGCUUAAAAUACAAUACAGUUUUCUUCUAAUUAUAAGUUUGGUAAAUUAUUGGAGAUUAAAUUGAUGUUAUCUUUUUUGCUGGACUACAAUACAGAAAUAAACAUUACAUGCUGAUUUUAUUGUAUUACAGGAACUGUAGGAAGUAUUCCAAGAGUAUGAUUGCUAAGUAUGCAUUACAGGAUUUUAUCAUUGGAGCAACAUCCAAGGAUAAUAAGUGGAAAUGUAUGAAGGAAUCCUUGGGUACAAAUAUCAAUUAUAUGCAGAAGUGGACUCUUAAACAUUAUUAACAGACAUGGUAGUCAAGAAAUUUAUACCAUUACCAACUGGAAUUAACUAUUGUGUAUAUUUUUUCAACCAUAAGUACUUUCAGAAUACAAUACAAUUCAAAUUCAGAUUAUUGUGUCAACAUACAAAAAUGUACAAGUUACAUUUAAAAAAAA